GACACAACAACGAUUCCAUUCAAUUAGAAGUUAAGAUUGCCACUUGGACACUUUGGGCUUCUCCUACCUUGAAGUCAACAGGCUAAGAAGAGAGUUACUUGGCUGGGGCGAUUGACCCAGAUUAUCAAGAUGAAAUCAGUCUACUACUCCACAACUGAGGAAGCCAAGCCACACUGCUAACUGAUGAGAGACCAGCUUGAAAGAGGGAGGACCUGCCAAUUGCCAUCAGCACAACUCCAGAUAUAUGGGAGUCAGGCUUUAGGGCAAAAACCGGGGAUCACAGAAUGCUUGCUCAAUCAACUUUGCUCAUCCAAAAUCACAAAAAUCGCCUCAAAAAAUGUUGAUGAUAAUUUAAUUUUCUUCACUCUCCAUGAAGAUGUUAGAUAAUGCUCACUCUGGGUGAGAAUAAAAGCCAGACUCAUCAAU
rnacentral:lncRNA from 1 species